AGCUACUGAGCUUACCCAUUCGAAAAUGUAAAUCUUAUCUUCUUCAAGUGUAUCAUCGUAGUUCGGCCGUCCAGCUAAAGUCUCCAAUAAGACCACGCCAAAUGCAAAGACAUCAACUUUCUCAGUCAUAUGACCUCUCAUGGCAUACUCAGGUGCAAGAUAACCGCUGGACAAAGGAUACCCAAAAAUACCAUUAACAUAAAUAUGAUUGUAAACAUAAAGGUGGAACAGAUGGAAUGUACUUACAAUGUACCAGCAACUUUCGUGCUGACAUGCGUCUUCUUGUCAUCAUAAAGUUUGGCUAGCCCAAAAUCUGAGAUCUUAGGAUUGAGAUUGGCGUCAAGUAAGACAUUGCUGGCCUUGAUGUCCCUGUGCACGACACGGAUGCUGGACUCUUCAUGAAGAUAAGCCAGACCUCUUGCAAUGCCUAAGCAUAUGUCAAAACGUGCUGGCCAAUCUAUGUUC
rnacentral:sRNA from 1 species